rnacentral:rRNA from 1 species
CCUGGUUGAUCCUGCCAGUAGUCAUAUGCUUGUCUCAAAGAUUAAGCCAUGCAAGUGUAAGAAUAAGAGGUUAAUAUCCUCGAAUCUGCAGACGGCUCAUUAAAUCAGUUUUACCCUACUCGGUCGUGAACUUUUACAAGGAUAACUCUCUGUAAACCAAGGGCUAAUACUUACUAAGAUAGGCGACUUUUGGGAAGCCUUGUAUUUAUUAGAUUCAAAAUAUCAUCGCAGUGUUUCGGCACUGGUUUAAAAGAUGACCCACAAUAAUUAUCGAAUCGUUGGCCUUGAGCUAACGAUGUUCCGAAUGGGAUUCUGACCUAUCAAGUUUCGAUGGUACUAUAGAGGAUUACCAUGCUAUUGACGGGUACGGGGAAUUAGGGUUCGAUUCCGGAGAGGACGCCUGAGAAACGGCGUCCACUUCUAAGGAAGGCAGCAGGCGCGUAAAUUACCCAAUCGCAAUUCGCGGAGGUAGUGACAAGAAAUAACGAUGCGGAUAUCUUAUAGAUAACUGCAAUCGGAAUGAGAACAAUUUAAAAAACUUAACGAGUAACUACUGGAGGGCAAGUCUGGUGCCAGCAGCCGCGGUAAUUCCAGCUCCAGAAGCGUAUAUUAAUGUUGUUGCAGUUAAAACGCUCGUAGUUGGAUCUUGGAAGUUUGGAUGAGCUCUGUCCGCCUGAAGGCGAGUACGGACUCACCUCUUCUGUAUUUGGUGACAGCGCACAUGGGGCCUUAAUUGGCUUCCCUUGUUGGGAGGAGGGUUAAUAGCCCGAGACCCAGGUCGGGGCUCUAACGGGGGCGGAGAGUGAAAGCUUUUCGUUUCGGUUGGUGGUCCGGGCAGCGUUUCACCUCAUUUACUUUGAACAAAAUAGAGUGCUCAACACAGACCUUAGGGUCAUUGAAUAAUUCAGCAUGGGAUAAUAGAACAUGAGAUUGAAUUCAUUUCGUUGGUAUUAUGAAUUUAAACUAAUGAUUAAAAGGGACAGUUGGGGUGGUUUGUAUUGGGUAGCUAGAGGUGAAAUUCUUGGAUUUUCCCAAGACAAACUACUGCGAAAGCAAUCUACUAGGAUGUACCCAUUAAUCAAGAACGAAAGUUGGGGGAUCGAAGACGAUCAGAUACCGUCGUAGUCUCAACCAUAAACAAUGCCGACUUAGGAUAGGAGAGUGUUUUCUAUGACUUCCCCUGCACUAUACGAGAAAUCAUAAGUCUUUGGGUUCCGGGGGGAGUAUGGUCGCAAGGCUGAAACUUAAAGGAAUUGACGGAAGGGCACCACCAGGCGUGGAGCCUGCGGCUUAAUUUGAUUCAACACGGGGAAACUUACCAGGUCCGGACAACGCAAGGAUUGACAGAUUGAAAGCUCUUUCAUGACUCGUUGGGUGGUGGUGCAUGGCCGUUCUUAGUUGGUGGUGUGAAUUGUCUGGUGAUUCCGUU